ensembl:misc_RNA Metazoa_SRP Metazoan signal recognition particle RNA
GCCAGGCACGGUGGUGCGUGUCUGUAAUCCCAGCUACUUGGGAGGCAGAGGUGGGAGGAUGGCUUGAGCCUGGGAGGUGGAUGUUACAGUGUGCUGAGAUGACACCACUGCACCCCAGCCUGGGCAAUAGAGCCAGACCCUGUCUCAA